ACGAACGCUGGCGGCGUGCCUAAUACAUGCAAGUUGAGCGCUGAAGGUUGGUACUUGUACCAACUGGAUGAGCAGCGAACGGGUGAGUAACGCGUGGGGAAUCUGCCUUUGAGCGGGGGACAACAUUUGGAAACGAAUGCUAAUACCGCAUAAAAACUUUAAACACAAGUUUUAAGUUUGAAAGAUGCAAUUGCAUCACUCAAAGAUGAUCCCGCGUUGUAUUAGCUAGUUGGUGAGGUAAAGGCUCACCAAGGCGAUGAUACAUAGCCGACCUGAGAGGGUGAUCGGCCACAUUGGGACUGAGACACGGCCCAAACUCCUACGGGAGGCAGCAGUAGGGAAUCUUCGGCAACGGACGAAAGUCUGACCGAGCAACGCCGCGUGAGUGAAGAAGGUUUUCGGAUCGUAAAACUCUGUUGGUAGAGAAGAACGUUGGUGAGAGUGGAAAGCUCAUCAAGUGACGGUAACUACCCAGAAAGGGACGGCUAACUACGUG
rnacentral:rRNA from 1 species